rnacentral:rRNA from 1 species
AGGGGGGAUAACAUCCGGGAAACGGGUGCUAAUACCGCAUAGUUUUCUUGAUCGCAUGAUUGAGAAAGGAAGACGGUCUUUGUGCUGUCGCUUAUGGAUGGACCCGCGGCGUAUUAGUUAGUUGGUGAGGUAAUGGCUCACCAAGACGAUGAUACGUAGCCGACCUGAGAGGGUGAUCGGCCACAUUGGGACUGAGACACGGCCCAAACUCCUACGGGAGGCAGCAGUAGGGAAUCUUCCGCAAUGGACGAAAGUCUGACGGAGCAACGCCGCGUGAGUGAAGAAAAGGGUUUUCGGAUCGUAAAACUCUGUUGUCAGAGAAGAACAAGUUGGAGAGUAACUGCUCCAGCCUUGACGGUAUCUGACCAGAAAGCCACGGCUAACUACGUGCCAGCCGCCGC